rnacentral:sRNA from 1 species
CGCUUAAUUUCCGGUGCUCUCAUCGGAAAGCGGGGGAACCACAUGCAACAGGGGCGAAUCGUUGUUCAAUGAACCGUAGGGAACCAUCUUUCCCGAGUCCGUCAGCUAACCUCGUAAGCAGUAGAUGGG